UACGAAGGGGGGCUAGCGUUGCUCGGAAUUACUGGGCGUAAAGGGCGCGUAGGCGGCACUGUUAGUCAGGCGUGAAAGUCCUGGGCUCAACCUGGGGAACUGCGCUUGAUACGGCAGAGCUAGAGGAUGGAAGAGGGUCGCGGAAUUCCCAGUGUAGAGGUGAAAUUCGUAGAUAUUGGGAAGAACACCGGUGGCGAAGGCGGCGACCUGGUCCAUUACUGACGCUGAGGCGCCGACAGCGUGGGGGAGCAAACAGGAU
rnacentral:rRNA from 1 species